CAGCAAGGCUGGAGUCCCAUCGUCUUGUUGGGGGAGAGGGGGGAGAAGAAAAAGGUGCCUGUAACUUCAGACUGUCCAAGAUAUCGCUUAGCUCCUGCGCCCGGAAGAAAAUCCAGCGCAGGUCGGGUUCCGGCGCGCGGAAGCCCUGCGAACCCCAAAUGUGUGCGCUGAGCCGAGGCCUCUAAGCGGUUUAAUUCGGAAAGAAGAGACUGCAGAGGAGAGGGAAGACCGUGAGUCUGCUUUCACCUAGGUUUAAAGCGAAUCAAAGACGGCUGUAAAAAGGGAAACCGGGACCAAAAACAGAUUUGGAGCCUCGAAACUCUCCAUUGAAGGUUUGGAAGAUACGUUGCUGCAGACUUGAAACCGGCUCCAAAUCCGGCCCAAACAUGGGCUGAAAAUAUGGCGCGCUAAUCUGCUGCUUCCCCUCCUCCUCAAGUUCUUUCUGACUCUUCCCACCUUUCCCAGUUUCCCUUCCAGACGUCUGCGGCUCCCCACUCCACCCCCAGGAUAGCUACUCUACAUCCCGACAAUUCCCAGCUUCUACACCCAGGAGGAGGAAUUCUGGAACCACCCAGAGCGAACUCGUGCCGGGGCGGGGUGGGGACCGGAGGAAGGUCCUGCUCCGAAUUCUCUCCAGAGCAGAAAAGAAUUCUAGAGGCUACAUGUGGGCUGCUUUCCCCCCUUCUUCCUUUUUUCCCUCGCAAACCAACAACCAAAAAGUGUUUGGUGAUGGAAAGAACACCAGUGGAAAACGGCAAAUAACAGUAUUUCCAACUCCGAGUCAGGUCCUCUUUGCACUGCUUUUUCCUGUUUCAUUGCAAUUUAUUGAUUUUAUUGUGGUUUUUUGUUUAUUUGGGGCAAGAACGGAGAUGUGAACCAGGACGAGCCAGCAGACCCCCGAGCCAGUAUCUCCUCCCUGGGCAGGGAACACCGCCUGCACCGGUGCAUACUAGGAGACCCUGGCGGAGAAUGUAAACAAACCGGGCGCCGAGCCCUUGAUCUUUAUUUAAAUAGAGGCUUGUUUAUCGGUGUCAUCCUAGGAGGAUUAAUUAGAUACAUCUCUUCACAAUUUGGUGUCUGACAC
rnacentral:lncRNA from 1 species